rnacentral:sRNA from 1 species
AAUAGCGUUAAUCCAGGAGCCGUAUGU